GUUUGGGCCCCCACCACACUGAUCUUCCAGAAGCCUGUUACCGGCCUCUGAAGGUGGAGGCCUCCAGCAGCCAACCUCAGAGAGGAAAAGUUCGGAAGCUUUGCAGUGAACAAGCAACUAAAACUGUUCCUGGUUUUGCUGCGGUUUCAGCCUAGUGGAGAAGGUGGGAGCAGGUGCUUUCCUGCUGAGUUGCAUGAUUGUGGCCACUUCUUGGUUCGUUAGGCUGCUAUAGCUGCUGUUUUAAGUGUGACUUGUCUGGUGCUGUGCUGGGGCUUCCCAGCAGCACCAGGAGUGUCUCCUGUUGUGUCUUUUGUUGUCCUUAUGAUUUGGAACCUGGCCUAGUGUCGGCUGCCGCAUUUCCACAGUGGCAGGAAGACACCAUCUUGGACAUGUGGCCUAUUGUUCAGGAAAGGAGCACUGUGUCCUCAGUGGCGGAAAGACAUGGCGGCUUUUGUUUAGGACUUGCAAACACUGGACACUGCUUCGGAUAAGAAUCCCCAGUGGGAGCUAAUCCUUUGGAACAAUACAGUGCAGAUGUUUCACGAGAUAAGAAAGCUAAUUCCAGACCAAUAAGAGCCACUCCAAAUGUCAGCACACCAAAAUAAAGUGAAAAUAUGAGGAUACAAAUGAGGAGGCGUUUUAUGACAAAUUGAAGAUGCUACUUCAAGCAGUCAGAUAAGUGAGACCAUCCAGUAUUUCUAUUCUUUCCUCUGAUUUCCUUUACUUAGCAUUAUCCUACCCAGUUCCAACCACGUUGUUGCAAAGAUCAAGAGAUCGUUUUCUUUAUGG